rnacentral:tRNA from 1 species
GCACCCAUAGCUCAGUGGAUAGAGCGCUGCCCUCCGAAGGCAGAGGCCGCACGUUCGAAUCGUGCUGGGUGCGCCA